AGGUUAACCUCUGAAAAUGAUAAUACCUGUCCGUUGUUUUACUUGUGGUAAAGUAAUUGGAAACAAGUGGGAAGCUUACUUAGGACUGCUGCAAGUGGAAUAUACAGAAGGUGAUGCAUUAGACGCCUUAGGACUGAAGAGAUACUGCUGCAGGAGGAUGUUAUUGGCCCACGUUGAUCUGAUUGAAAAAUUGUUGAACUAUGCUCCAUUAGAAAAGUGAAUAAGAUUUUGGACAGGGGACCAGUGCACAUUUUUUUCACACCGUAUCAUUGUUAUAAGUAAAAUGAGGCCCAUUUAAUGAUUAUUUUUUUUCAUUUUGUAAACAAGCAGAUGGAUCAAAAAUGUUUCAUGAAGGAAAAUGGUAAAUCCAGUAUGUUUAAACACAAUUUGUAAAAUGUGAUACAAAUGUACAUAUAACUGUAAUAAAAAUUAAUAUUUU